rnacentral:snRNA from 1 species
UUUAUUGUUUAAUAAAUUAUUAUUGAAACCUUAUCUGUUCUUAUCAAUUUAAUAUCUGAUACGUCCCCUAUCUGGGGACUAUAUAUUAAAUGGAUUUUUGGAACAGGGAGAUGGAAGAAGAGCUUGCUCUGUCCACUCCACGCAUCGACCUGGUAUUGCAGUACCUCCAGGACCGGUGCACUUCUC